GUCGCGACUCCUACGGGAGGCAGCAGUGGGGAAUAUUGCACAAUGGGCGCAAGCCUGAUGCAGCCAUGCCGCGUGUAUGAAGAAGGCCUUCGGGUUGUAAAGUACUUUCAGCAGUGAGGAAGGUGGGUAUGUUAAUAGCAUACUCAUUUGACGUUAGCUGCAGAAGAAGCACCGGCUAACUCCGUGCCAGCAGCCGCGGUAAUACGGAGGGUGCGAGCGUUAAUCGGAAUUACUGGGCGUAAAGCGCAUGCAGGUGGUUUGUUAAGUCAGAUGUGAAAGCCCGGGGCUCAACCUCGGAAUUGCAUUUGAAAACUGGCAAACUAGAGUACUGUAGAGGGGGUAGAAUUUCAGGUGUAGCGGUGAAAUGCGUAGAGAUCUGAAGGAAUACCGGUGGCGAAGGCGGCCCCCUGGACAGAUACUGACACUCAGAUGCGAAAGCGUGGGGAGCAAACAGGAUUAGAUACCCUGGUAG
rnacentral:rRNA from 1 species